ACUCAAAUGAAUAGACGGGGGCCCGCACAAGCGGUGGAGUAUGUGGUUUAAUUCGAAGCAACGCGCAGAACCUUACCUACCCUUGACAUUGUACGCUAUCGCGAGAGAUCGCGAGUUCCCUUCGGGGACGUAUGAACAGGUGCUGCAUGGCUGUCGUCAGCUCGUGUCGUAAGAUGUCCGGUUAAGUCCGAUAACGAGCGCAACCCUUGUGCUUAGUUGCCAGCAUUAAGUUGGGAACUCUAAGCAGACUGCCGGUGUUAAACCGGAGGAAGGCGGGGAUGACGUCAAGUCCUCAUGGCCCUUACGGGUAGGGCUACACACGUACUACAAUGGCAGAAACAGCCCGAUGCGAAACCGCGAGGUGGAGCUGAUCGGUAAAACACUGUCUCAGUUCGGAUUGCAGUCUGCAACUCGACUGCAUGAAGCUGGAAUCGCUAGUAAUCGCUGAUCAGCAAGCAGCGGUGAAUACGUUCCCGGGCCUUGUACACACCGCCCGU
rnacentral:rRNA from 1 species